rfam:Ovis aries breed Texel chromosome 6, whole genome shotgun sequence.
UCCCUGGUAGCUUGGUGGUAAAGAAUCUGUCUGCAAUUCAGGAGAUGCAGGUUCGAUUCCUGAGUCAGGAAA